UACGGAGGGGGCUAGCGUUGUUCGGAAUUAUUGGGCGUAAAGGGUGCGUAGGCGGCCUGACAAGUCUGAUGUGAAAUCCCUGGGCUCAACCCAGGGCCUGCAUCGGAAACUGUCGGGCUUGAGUAUGGGAGAGGUGAGUGGAAUUUCCGGUGUAGCGGUGAAAUGCGUAGAUAUCGGAAGGAACACCUGUGGCGAAAGCGGCUCACUGGACCAUAACUGACGCUGAUGCACGAAAGCUGGGGGAGCAAACCGG
rnacentral:rRNA from 1 species